UACAGAGGUCUCAAGCGUUGUUCGGAUUCAUUGGGCGUAAAGGGUGCGUAGGCGGCGCGGUAAGUCGGGUGUGAAAUCCCCGAGCUCAACUCGGGAACUGCGUCCGAUACUGGCGGGCUUGAAUCCGGGAGAGGGAUGCGGAAUUCCAGGUGUAGCGGUGAAAUGCGUAGAUAUCUGGAGGAACACCGGUGGCGAAGGCGGCAUCCUGGACCGGCAUUGACGCUGAGGCGCGAAAGCGUGGGGAGCGAUCCGG
rnacentral:rRNA from 1 species